UACGAGGGGGCUAGCGUUGCUCGGAAUCACUGGGCGUAAAGGGUGCGUAGGCGGGUCUUUAAGUCAGAGGUGAAAUCCUGGAGCUCAACUCCAGAACUGCCUUUGAUACUGAGGAUCUUGAGUUCGGGAGAGGUGAGUGGAACUGCGAGUGUAGAGGUGAAAUUCGUAGAUAUUCGCAAGAACACCAGUGGCGAAGGCGGCUCACUGGCCCGAUACUGACGCUGAGGCACGAAAGCGUGGGGAGCAAACAGG
rnacentral:rRNA from 1 species